AUUGAACGCUGGCGGCAGGCUUAACACAUGCAAGUCGAACGAGCGGCGGACGGGUGAGUCAUGUCUGGGACCCUGCCUGCUGGAGGGGGUUAACUUCUGGAAACGGUAGCUAAUCCCGCAUACCAUCCUCUGUGCCCAGAUGGGAUUAGCUAGUAGGUGGGGUAAUGGCUCACCUAGGCGACGAUCCCUAGCUGGUCUGAGAGGAUGACCAGCCACACUGGAACGGGGACACGGCCCAGACGCCUAAGGGAGGCAGCAGUGGGGAAUAUUGGACAAUGGGGGCAACCCUGAUGCAGCCAUGCCGCGUGUGUGAAGAGGGCCUUCGGGUUGUAAAGUACGUUCAGCGAGGAGGCGGUAACUGCAGAAGAAGCACCGGCUAACUACGUGCCAGCAGCCGCGGUAAUAC
rnacentral:rRNA from 1 species